UACGGAGGGGGCUAGCGUUGUUCGGAAUUACUGGGCGUAAAGCGCACGUAGGCGGCUUUGUAAGUUAGAGGUGAAAGCCUGGGGCUCAACUCCAGAACUGCCUUUAAGACUGCAUCGCUUGAAUCAUGGAGAGGCGGGUGGAAUUCCGAGUGUAGAGGUGAAAUUCGUAGAUAUUCGGAAGAACACCAGUGGCGAAGGCGGCCCGCUGGACAUGUAUUGACGCUGAGGUGGCGAAAGCGUGGGGAGCAAACAGGG
rnacentral:rRNA from 1 species